UACAGAGGUGGCAAGCGUUGUUCGGAAUUACUGGGCGUAAAGGGCGCGUAGGCGGCCUUCUAAGUCAGACGUGAAAUCCCCCGGCUUAACCUGGGAACUGCGUCUGAUACUGGGAGGCUUGAGUAUGGGAGAGGGAUGUAGAAUUCCAGGUGUAGCGGUGAAAUGCGUAGAUAUCUGGAGGAAUACCGGUGGCGAAGGCGGCAUCCUGGA
rnacentral:rRNA from 1 species